AACGAACGCUGGCGGCAGGCUUAACACAUGCAAGUCGAACGCUCGUAGCAAUACGGGAGUGGCAGACGGGUGAGUAACGCGUGGGAACAUACCCUUUGGUUCGGAAUAACUGAGAGAAAUUUCAGCUAAUACCGGAUGUGCCCUUCGGGGGAAAGAUUUAUCGCCAAAGGAUUGGCCCGCGUCUGAUUAGGUAGUUGGUGAGGUAACGGCUCACCAAGCCGACGAUCAGUAGCUGGUCUGAGAGGAUGAUCAGCCACACUGGGACUGAGACACGGCCCAGACUCCUACGGGAGGCAGCAGUGGGGAAUAUUGGACAAUGGGGGCAACCCUGAUCCAGCCAUGCCGCGUGAGUGAUGAAGGCCUUAGGGUUGUAAAGCUCUUUCGCUAGGGAAGAUAAUGACGGUACCUAGAGAAGAAGCCCCGGCUAACUUCGUGC
rnacentral:rRNA from 1 species